GCUGAGAGCGUCCGGGAUACUGGAUUCCUAUUUCAGUUUAAUUUCUAGAGUCUUCUCUCUGAAGAGACACUCUGUCUCUCUACUAACCAUUUCUAUUCAAUUUGUAGACAGGGAGAAUGGCUGAGAGCGCACAUUCAUCAGCUCUGAGUAUGAAACAAGAUGUCAAAUUUCACAAAAUAUUCCUUUUGAUUUUACUUAUUGUUUCCUUUUGCACUUUGAUUUUCUGUUCUGUUUUGUUUCUUGAUUUGAUUGAUAUAAUUUUGUUAACUCUUUAGGAAACAAAUCUUCCAUUUUUUUUACCUAUUUUAUCGGAAUUUUUUUUUAUUUCUAUUUUGUUUUCUAAUUAAUUAUGCUUUCCUAUUUGUUUCAGACUCCCUCCAAACAAAGAAAUCUAUGCAGAAACGAGAAACGGAGGAUUUAUGUCGUCUGUGUUUGAUCUGUCGUCUGGAGCGCCAAAGAAGCUCUGGGUCUUUCUCCAAUCUCUUUGUAUCUCUCUCUGCCUAUUUUUCAAUUUUUGGAAGGAAUCUCAGUCCCUUGAGAAGAGGAAGAAAAAUAUUUAUUUUAUCAUUGGCAUCCGAUUAAGAUCAAACUAUAGGUGGGUGUUUUUCUUUUAUCCCAAAAAUUGGAGAUUGUAGAUGUUUGUGUGGUUUAUUUAUUUAUUUUUUUUUCUGUUUUGUUUUCUCUCUUUUGGAGGAUUUAUUCUGAUGUAUAUUGCUUUAAAUAUUGUCUGACGAAGCAUUUAAUAUUUUUCAAAAUUUGGGUUUUUCUUGUAUAUCAAGCUUCUCAAGGAUUUUCUUUCCUUUUCCUGCCAAUUCUUUUCGUUUUCUUUUUGUUAAUUUCCUUUUCUGGGGAAAGGGUUUGCUCUAUAAAAUUAAAUUUUGUAUAAUGCCAGACAUCAGGAGUCCAAUUUUGGUUGAAAUUUUGAGUUUUGAAAAAGAGAUGAGGAAGAAACCAGGCCUGAAGCCUAGUUUAAGAAAAGUUAGAAUAACAUGGCAUGAUCCUGAGGCCACUGACUCUUCAAGCGAUGAAGAUUCUGGAUUCAUUGACAGGAGUCACAGCUUGAUCAGAGGUAAGCAGUUUGUGAGAGAGAUUACUUUCUCAACACUGCCAUAUGAGUCAAGUUCUGAAAAUUCUUCACAACGCAGUAGCAAUGGAGGCAGAAUCAGAAAUAGCACUGGGCCUGGUGACAAAAAGAAAGCUAGAGUGGCGUCUUCUAUUUUCAAGGGCGUCCGAAGAAGGCCAUGGGGGAAGUAUAUAGCUGAGAUUCGAGAUCCAUAUCGAAAGAUUCGUAUAUGGCUUGGUACUUAUAAUACAGAAGAGGAAGCUGCUGCUGCUUACAAGAAAAAGGAGGAAGAGUUUAAGAGCAUGAUGGAAGUACAGGAACAUAACAGUUCUGUGAAUGCUUCAAAAGUAGUCUCAGAACAAUCCAAUGAUUUAGUUUCUUACCCUUCACCCUAUUCUGUGCUUGAUGUCUCCACUGCAGCAUCACAAGGUGGCGGAGUUGAAAGUUCAAUUAAAGAAGAAAGCAGUGAAGACAAGACAGUGAAAGAAUGCAAUGUGGGAAGCUUGGUGGAAAAUGGUUUUGAAGGUCUAUCUAUUCCUGAUCUUUGGAAGGAGCCAGUGCUAUCUCCAUGUAGUCAACAGUUGCUUGGUGGUGAUUUCUACUCACAAUUUACGAAUGAUUUUGAGCAGUUUCCUGAUACACAAGAAUUUUUUAUGGCUAAAAGCAGUGAAGAGGUGGUGGAUCUUCCAACCAUGGAUGGGGUGAUGGAUCUUCCAACCAUGGAUGGGG
rnacentral:misc_RNA from 1 species